UUAUCAUUUUCAUAAUAAGUCGGACUAUACCUUAAGCCUUGAAUUUCUUCAAGACCAAUAUUCGUCUAGUCUCUGAACUUUUUUUAAUUUAGCUGCUGAUUAUUCUAUCAUUACGUUAUUACUUAAAGUAGUAAUGAUUUCAGAAGUUUCCAGCAAUUUGAAUAUUUCGCAAGAUUUAACUUACUAGUGUACUUGACACUUUAAACGACUAU
rnacentral:ncRNA from 1 species